rnacentral:rRNA from 1 species
UAGUCCACGCCCUAAACGAUGCUCACUCGGUAUUGGCGAUAUACAGUCAGUGCCUAAGGGAAACCAUUAAGUGAGCCACCUGGGGAGUACGUUCGCAAGAAUGAAACUCAAAGGAAUUGACGGGGAUCCGCACAAGCGGUGGAGCAUGUGGUUUAAUUCGAUGAUACGCGAGGAACCUUACCUAGGCUCUAAUGCCUCUGCUACCCCUUGAAAGAGGGGGUUCCUUCGGGACAGAGUGCAAGGUGCUGCAUGGUUGUCGUCAGCUCGUGCCGUGAGGUGUUGGGUUAAGUCCGUUAACGAGCGCAACCCUCGUCGUAUGUUAUAUUUUCAUGCGAGACUGCCGGUUAUAAACCGGAGGAAGGUGAGGAUGACGUCAAAUCAGCAUGCCCCUUAUGCCCUGGGCUACACCCACGUUACAAUGGGUAGAUACAAACCGAAGCAAUACUGUAAAGUGGAGCAAAUCGGAUAAAACUACUCUCAGUUCGGAUUGUGGUCUGCAACUCGACCACA